rnacentral:tRNA from 1 species
CCCUGGCGGCUCAGACCGUAAAGAGUCUGCCUGCAAUGCAGGAGACCCAGGUUCGAUUCCUGGGUCGGGAA